GACGAACGCUGGCGGCGUGCUUAACACAUGCAAGUCGAACGGAAAGGCCCUGCUUUUGUGGGGUGCUCGAGUGGCGAACGGGUGAGUAACACGUGAGUAACCUGCCCGUGACUUUGGGAUAACUUCAGGAAACUGGGGCUAAUACCGGAUAGGAGCUCCUGCUGCAUGGUGGGGGGUGGAAAGUUUCGGCGGUUGGGGAUGGACUCGCGGCUUAUCAGCUUGUUGGUGGGGUAGUGGCUUACCAAGGCUUUGACGGGUAGCCGGCCUGAGAGGGUGACCGGCCACAUUGGGACUGAGAUACGGCCCAGACUCCUACGGGAGGCAGCAGUGGGGAAUAUUGCACAAUGGGCGGAAGCCUGAUGCAGCAACGCCGCGUGCGGGAUGACGGCCUUCGGGUUGUAAACCGCUUUCGCCUGUGACGAAGCGUGAGUGACGGUAAUGGGUAAAGAAGCACCGGCUAACUACGUG
rnacentral:rRNA from 1 species